CAGUCGCCGCGGUAAUACGUAGGUGGCAAGCGUUGUCCGGAAUUAUUGGGCGUAAAGGGCUCGCAGGCGGUUUCUUAAGUCUGAUGUGAAAGCCCCCGGCUCAACCGGGGAGGGUCAUUGGAAACUGGGAAACUUGAGUGCAGAAGAGGAGAGUGGAAUUCCACGUGUAGCGGUGAAAUGCGUAGAGAUGUGGAGGAACACCAGUGGCGAAGGCGACUCUCUGGUCUGUAACUGACGCUCAUGCACGAAAGCGUGGGGAGCAAACAGGAUUAGAUACCCGAGUAGUCCCUGUCUCUUAUAC
rnacentral:rRNA from 1 species